rnacentral:rRNA from 1 species
UACGUAGGGUGCGAGCGUUAUUCGGAAUUACUGGGCGUAAAGGGCUCGUAGGCGGCCAACUAAGUCAGACGUGAAAUCCCUCGGCUUAACCGGGGAACUGCGUCUGAUACUGGUUGGCUUGAAUCCGGGAGAGGGAUGUGGAAUUCCAGGUGUAGCGGUGAAAUGCGUAGAUAUCUGGAGGAACACCGGUGGCGAAGGCGGCAUCCUGGACCGGUAUUGACGCUGAGGAGCGAAAGCCAGGGGAGCAAACGGG